GACGAACGCUGGCGGCGUGCCUAAUACAUGCAAGUAGGACGCAGUUGCGAGCGGGUGAGUAACGCGUAGGUAACUCCCUAUUAGAGGGGGAUAACUAUUGGAGACGAUAGCUAAUACCGCAUACUAGUAGAUGGACCUGCGUUGUAUUAGCUAGUAGGUAGGGUAAUGGGCUACCUAGGCAACGAUACAUAGCCGACCUGAGAAGGGGAUCCGGCACACGGGGGACGGGGAAAGGCCCCGACUUCUUCGGGAGGGAGCAGGUGGGGAUCUGCGGGAAAUGGGGGAAACCUGACCGAGCAAAGGCGCGUGAGUGGAGAAGGGUUUCGGAUCGUAAAGCUUUGUUGUUAAGGGAGCGGUACUUAACCAGAAAGGGACGGCUAACUACGUGCCAGCAGCCGCGGUAAUUC
rnacentral:rRNA from 1 species